UUGGUUAAGUUAGAAAGGGCGCACGGUGGAUGCCUUGGCACUAGGAGCCGAAGAAGGACGGGACUAACACCGAUAUGCUUUGGGGAGCUGUACGUAAGCGUUGAUCCAGAGAUUUCCGAAUGGGGGAACCCACUAUCUUUAGUCGGAUAGUAUCCUUACGUGAAUACAUAGCGUGAGGAAGGCAGACCCAGGGAACUGAAACAUCUAAGUACCUGGAGGAAGAGAAAGAAAAAUCGAUUUCCUGAGUAGCGGCGAGCGAAACGGAAAGAGCCCAAACCAAGAAGCUUGCUUCUUGGGGUUGUAGGACACUCUAUACGGAGUUACAAAAGAAAGUUAUAAAUGAAGCGGUCUGGAAAGGCCCGCCAAAGACGGUAACAGCCCGGUAGUUGAAAUGGCUUUCCCUCCAGAGUGGAUCCUGAGUACGGCGGAACACGUGAAAUUCCGUCGGAAUCCGGGAGGACCAUCUCCCAAGGCUAAAUACUCCCUAGUGACCGAUAGUGAACCAGUACCGUGAGGGAAAGGUGAAAAGCACCCCGGAAGGGGAGUGAAACAGUUCCUGAAACCGUGUGCCUACAAGUAGUUAGAGCCCGUUAAUGGGUGAUAGCGUGCCUUUUGUAGAAUGAACCGGCGAGUUACGAUUUGUUGCAAGGUUAAGCGGAAAAAGCGGAGCCGUAGCGAAAGCGAGUCUGAAUAGGGCGCAUAAGUAACAGGUCGUAGACCCGAAACCAGGUGAUCUACCCAUGUCCAGGAUGAAGGUAAGGUAAUACUUACUGGAGGUCCGAACCCACGCACGUUGAAAAGUGCGGGGAUGAGGUGUGGGUAGCGGAGAAAUUCCAAUCGAACUUGGAGAUAGCUGGUUCUCUCCGAAAUAGCUUUAGGGCUAGCCUCGAGG
rnacentral:rRNA from 1 species